rnacentral:rRNA from 1 species
AACGAACGCUGGCGGCAGGCCUAACACAUGCAAGUCGAGCGGACGUAGCAAUACGUCAGCGGCGCACGGGUGAGUAACGCGUGGGAACCUGCCCUUUGGUUCGGAACAAACCCUGGGAAACUAGGGCUAAUACCGGAUAAGCCCCGUAAGGGGAAAGAUUUAUCGCCGAAGGAGGGCCCGCGUCCGAUUAGCUAGUUGGUGGGGUAAUGGCCUACCAAGGCUUCGAUCGGUAGCCGGUCUGAGAGGACGAUCGGCCACACUGGGACUGAGACAUGGCCC